CUACGGGGUGCACCAGUGGGGAAUAUUGCACAAUGGGCGCAAGCCUGAUGCAGCCAUGCCGCGUGUAUGAAGAAGGCCUUCGGGUUGUAAAGUACUUUCAGCGGGGAGGAAGGGAGUAAAGUUAAUACCUUUGCUCAUUGACGUUACCCGCAGAAGAAGCACCGGCUAACUCCGUGCCAGCAGCCGCGGUAAUACGGAGGGUGCAAGCGUUAAUCGGAAUUACUGGGCGUAAAGCGCACGCAGGCGGUUUGUUAAGUCAGAUGUGAAAUCCCCGGGCUCAACCUGGGAACUGCAUCUGGUACUGGCAAGCUUGAGUCUCGUAGAGGGGGGUAGAAUUCCAGGUGUAGCGGUGAAAUGCGUAGAGAUCUGGAGGAAUACCAGUGGCGAAGGCGGCCCCCUGGACGAAGACUGACGCUCAGGUGCGAAAGCGUGGGGAGCAAACAGGAUUAGAUACCCCCGUAGUC
rnacentral:rRNA from 1 species